rnacentral:lncRNA from 1 species
ACGAUGCUGUCUGUCAGUAAGGUGAAACGAUUUAGUUUGUAUCAUUACAUAAUUAAUUGUAUACAAUACAGCACAGACUUGUCCUUCUACUUAUGCUAAAUGUAGAAAUGGCAUCCAAUGUUUCCCAUUACAAGAUCUGUGUGAUGGGGAUAACACUUACUGCCUUGAUCAAAGUGACGAAGAUCCUGACUUUUGUAGAGGUAAGGGCUGAACUUGUAUAUAUUAUCAUUUGAUACAUAUGUAUGUAAGAUGGGAAAAUACAACCAAUAAGAUUGACAUGCAAAUGUUGCCAUUUGAAUCUGGAUUACUGAUAUUAAAAGUUAUCAGUAUUUCGUAAAUGUUUAUUGAUGAAUUUAAUAUAUAUUGUAUAUGUCUAUUAAUGUAGGUGUCAGAAAGCUAUUUCCUUUGUAGAAUAUUUGCAUUUAAAAAAUAAAUAGCACUCGUUAUGUAAUUAUAAUGGUUUUUUUUCUAUUUGUUUUAUCAUUGUUGUCUGUAUUUGACUUUAUGUAUAGUUAGAUAAAUUAUUAUGUUACCCUCUUUGUACCUGUGGCCAUUUAUUUUGGGGAAUUUAUGUAUCUAGAUAACUGUAGAUUCAUUUAUUUUCGUGGGUACCAAUUCUUGUGGAAAGAGGAAAACUUGCAUAAUCAUGGAUAUUUGAAUUCGUAGUUUUGACAAAGUCAACAUGCAUUUCUUUAGAAAAAUUUGCAUAGCGUUGAUCAUUUCAAUUCGUUUUGUCCAAGAAAUCCACGAAAAUUGGUGUCCGACGAAUACUAAUGACUCAACAGUAUCAGAAGAUGAGGUGUGAGUACCAAUAAGACCACUUUCCAUUCAGGUUACAACCUAAGAAUAACCUCUAAGAUAUUAAAAUACCGUCUUCAAUACGGAACUUAGGCUCAAACGGAACAGCAAGCUAUAAAAUGCCCUAACUAGUGUAAAACCAUUCAUUUGAGUAUCUGUUUUUGUAAUAGAUCAAAAUUGUGAGCCUGGUUACACUAAGUGUAGGGAUGGUGUACACUGUUUCAUGUCUCAAUGGCUCUGUGAUCGUGCAGGAACAUAUAAUUGUCCAGACCAUAGUGACGAAGACCCAGAGUUCUGUAAACGUGAGUAAAUUUUAGGUACUAGUAUAUGAAAAAAUUAUCUGCAUUCGCCGUAUGGAAUUAUGAAUAAAUUUGGUGAUCGUGCGACCUCGUGCAAUUCCAUGCAUAUUAAUCCUUAUUUUUGUCUGUCAAGCCGAUAAUCGAUAGCUUACGUAUAUUCGAAUUCAAAAAAUCCAUUUAAGAAAAACAUAUGAAUGUAAAUGAUUACCCUUUAGAGAUUCACAUGAAAUACUGCUUUCCCAAUCAGCAGACAUCAUUAUUAUGUUGUACUGUUAUACCACUGUCCCAGGUUAGGGAAGGUUGGGAUUCCGCUAACAUGUUUAACCCGUCACAUUAUUUAUGUGUGUGCCUGUCCCAAGUCAGGAGCCAGUACUUCAGUGGUUGUCGUUUGUUUAUGUGUUACAUAUUUGUUUUUCGUUCAUUUUUGUAUUUAUAGGAGGCAAUUAGUUUCUCGUUUGAAUUGUUUAACAUUGUCAUAUCGGGGCCAUUUAUAGAUGACUAUGCGGUAUGGGCUUUGCUCAUUGUUGAAGGCCGUACGGUGACCUAUAGUUGUUAAUGUCUGUGUCAUUUUGGUCACUUGUGGACAGUUGUCUCAUUGGCAAUCAUCCCACAUCUUCUUUUCUAUAGAGUAUAGAUUGAUCGGGUCGAAAGCAGAAUUUAUAUGUCUUAGUAUGAUGGCAGGUGUACCUUCGAAUUAUUUCAUUUUUAUUUCACUUACAUAACGCACACCAUGUCUAGUAAGUACAAUUCAGGCUACAGUAUCGAUGUUCAGAUCUCGAAAGCGACUAGGGAGAGAAAUAUCAAUGUAACAAAUUAAAAAAGAGGAGACCACACGAACUCUAAAAUGAGUUAGACAUGUUACGAGAAACCGUUAUCUGUUUUAAUGCAUCACAGCAAUGCCAAUUUACGCUUUAAAAAAUAUCACCAUCAGAAAAAGAAAACAAUCGGUAAGAUUACAGAUCUCUUGUCUAUUCUAACAUCUAAAAAAUCGAAUACUUCAAAAACAUGUCGAAAGUGAGUUCAAUCAAAAAGAUAUGAGUUUAAUGUUAUAUAUAACAUUGCCAUAAAAGCGGAAGGUUUGGCAUACCACAAAACCAGGUUCAAUCCACCUUUUUGUUAUAAAAAUGUCCUGUACCAAGUCAGGGAAAUGGCCAUUGUAAUAUUAUAGUUCGUUUCUGUGGGUUAGAUUUUAAUGUUGUGUUACUGUUGUGUCGUAGUUCUCCUCUUAUAUUAGAUAUGUUUCCCUCAGUUUUAGUUUGUAACUCGAGUAGUUUUUAAUUGUCAAUCGAUUUAUGAAUUUCCAACAGCGGUAAACUACUGUUGCCUUUAUUUAUGUCGAUCAAGGAAUUCUUGAUCAAGACCGUAACAACAAUGUACUGUCGAUUUCAGUUGUUCUUUCUCAAAAUCCUGUUUUAAUGCCAGGUGCACGUGCAUACACAUGUAAAUUAAGUCCGUAUACUCAAAACAUGUAUAAGCGUAGCGUAAUAAUCAAUAUAGAUAAACUAUAAAGAAAUACAGAAUUGACAAUUAUAAAUCUUAAAUAAUCACGAUUGGCAUAUAUUCUAGUACUCUUAUGUUCUAUUAUAUGUCUUUUUGUCUUUUUCUUUUUUCUAGCCAUAAUGUGUUUGUUUCUUUUUCGAUAUGUGAGUUUUAAUGUCCCUCUGCUACCUUUCGCUCUUCUUUUGAAACCGUCCAUAUUUGUCAAUACCAAGUCAACAUGUGUAGGAGAUAUACUUUUGCAUAAUGUCAAUGUCACUUAAAUACAGGUUAUUCGUGUAUAUAUUUAGGAAAGGAGUAGGUCCAGUAAGGCCUCUUUUUGCCCACAAAAUAUAGCAGUUUUACAAAAUUGUUAACAUGUAAAAUUUUAGUUAUUUAUUGGAAUUAGAAUGCUUCUGCUACAUACAUAUGGGCUGUUUUUGAAUAUACAAAGCACAUAUAUCGGGUACUAGCAUCAUUAAGUCAUUCUAAAUUAGUGAAAAUCAAAUCUUUACAAUUUUAGUUUUUUUAUUAAAUUUUAGACGGUUUCCGUCUUAAACGAAAGUGGCCGAAUUUGUGUUCAUUCUUAAUAUUGAAAUGUAAGUUGUAUUUGAUGAUAAUAAUAAACAUAUAUAAGGGUUGAGGAUGAACACGGAUGCGGCGACUGUCAUUUUUGACAAAAAACAUCUGAAAAGUGACAUUUUUUGGCGUAUUUGAUAGAUUUUUCAUAUUUAAGCUUGAAUCGAAGCGUUUUUAAUGAGUAAAUCAGUUAAAAUCCUUCGCAUAAACUUAUUGAGUCAACUGAAAUAGACAAUAGUGUUUAAAAAGUGUUCCAAAAUCUUUCGUCAGAUAAACCUAAAAUUUGAGGCAAAAAUAGGCCCUUCCCGGACCUACUCCUUUGGACGAUUAAAUAAAGCUGUUAUGAGCUAGCUUUAUCCGUGCUUGUCCCGGUAUUCACUCGAUUAUAGAUGUAUUGAACCAGACUGAACGAAUAACAAUACAAUACUCAUGACCAACAGUGAACAUUACCUCCUGAUUAAAUCUUAGAGCACAUUAUUCUUAUGUAUCUGUUUAACAACAGAAAUAUUUAUUUCAAUCUUCGACUUUACAUAGCUUAUUCGUUUGAGAAGAUUUCCUCCCAAACUGUCCUGAUUUUAACAUCUGUUACUGUUUAUAUUCUCAAAUCAAAUUGUUGGUCCUCCUCAUCAUCCAAAACAUUUAAUACAAUAAUUUCCUUAAAGUUGAUACUAUAGGGUUAUUGCAUGAAUAUUGGGGAAUAUUGUCCCGAGUAGAAUUUUAUAUUGCAUCAGACAUCUUAAUAUAAGACAUCCAUUUAGAGUGUGCCAUUUGAUACAUGCAAAAAAACAAAGUUCUGUGAAGGGACACACUCAUCAUUAAACCACUAGAGUUCUGACAAUAAAAUGCGUGUUUAAUUAUUCAAAAUAAACUCCGAACUAGACGAAAGAUACUCAAGAGAACGGUGUUUUAAGUUAUGACUAAAUUAGUUUACCGAUAUUCGAAUAUCGUAAACCGAUUUGGAAAAGCACGGUGAGCUUGGACGUUAUACGAUUACCCUCCCGGAGCACCUGAGAUCACCCUUAGUUUUUGUUGUGGUUCGCGUUGCUUAUUCUUUAGUUUUCUAUGUUGUGUCAUGUGUUCUAUUGUUUGUCUGUUUGUCUUCAUUCGUUUUUGGCCAGGCGUUGUCAGUUUAUUUUCGAUUUAUGAGUUUGACUGUCCCUCUGGUAUCUUUCGUCCCUCUUUUACUAACAUAAGGUUUGUAGUGUUUCUGAUGGAUUGCAGGUCUAUGGAUAAGACUGUUUUACUUGAAAGACACGAAUGGAACUUUCUCUCAUUUCUUUAAAAUUCAUCAAAUUUAACAAGUAAUUGUUUCAAAAACUGAAAUUGUUUGCUAAGUCAUGAUAGUUUAACCACAAUUAGAUGGUAAUGGGUGUUUUAUUGUGGACCUUUCUUGAUUUUAAGUUCAAAUGUUUUUUUCUUCUAUUUUCGUAAGAGUAUUUGAUGCCGGUUAUUCUCAGCGGUCGAACUGGGUUUUUGAAAGAGGUCAAUCGCAGAAUGAUGUAUCUAUCCUGCAGAGAGGAUCAAUUCGUAAUAAAUUUUAAACGAUUUAAUGUUAAAAUAUCUUAUAAAACGUGUAAAAGAUCAGAUUGUCGUACAACCAAAGACAAUAACAAUCAAAACCAAGGAGUAAACAGACUCACAAAACCAAAGGACAUUUACAUCAACAGUUAUAAGCAAUAAAUAAGAAACAACACGAACUCCACUAAAAACCGGGAGUGGAAUCAGGUGCUUCGGAAGGGUACGCAUUUUCUGCACCGUAUACGGCACCCGUCGUGUUAUCUCUUUGUUCAGUUCGGUAAUGAUGGAAAGUUAUUAUGACUGAGGAAGAAUAACAGAUAUGAUUUCUGACACAUUUUUGUCAUAAUGGCCAAUCAGCUCAUGAUGGCGACCGUAAAAUUUCUUGAGUGAUGACCUUAAUUUGAUUGAUUCAUAGCCCUUUCUUAGCAUCUUUUGAGAAAUCAGUUCUUCGUUCAACAAAAUCAACGUACUUUGAGCUAGCCUGUAGAGUAACGUAAAAAGAUAAAGAAAUGAUAGGAAGGAAGUAACGGGUUGUUAAAAAUAUUGAGAAAUAUAUUUGUAUAAAUGUCUAUGCAUCCGAAAUGUUUAAGUAAAUUUAUCUUCAUAACGAACGAUUAAAGCCAAAUGAUGUUCGUAUUAUUGGAAACUUAUAUAGAAUAUCAAUUAUAUUUCGAGUGAAAAACAAACAUUGCAUGUGACUGUCAUACAAAUGAGAGGGUUAGCCAGCUGUAAAACCAUGUUUUCUCCAUCAUUUUCUACAUAAGAAUUGUCCUCGCAGGUCGGUAUUUUUGUUGUUUUACUUUUUUAUAUUAGUAUUUGUAAAACUUAUUACAGAACAAAGUUGUCCUGAAUUUGAUGGCUGGGGUGGCUGGAAUGGUUGGAGGAAAUGUCGGGACGGAAAACAAUGUUUCAACGCAAAAGGCUUAUGUGAUGGCGACCCUGCGUAUUGUAAUGAUGAAAGUGACCAGGACCCAGAUUUUUGUAAAAGUAUUUAUCAUCUAUUAUCUAUCAUGAUUUCAUUGAUAAAGGAUUGCUGCUCAAAAGGAAGCUAUUAAACCAGUAGUUCCAAAUGGUGAUGUUGAAAUCAUCCCUUUGUAAAUUUUACGCCAUCACGAGUUGGUUGACCGUUAUGAAAUAACCGUUUCACAGAUGAUAUCGGAUAUGUUCCGUGCUACCAAUAAGAAUAUUAACCUGAUUUGAAAUAACAUGAGCAAAUGACGGGUGCCCCAUGUGGAACAGGAUCAGCUUAUCCUUUGAAGCACCUGAGGUCCCCGAGUUUUUGGUGGGGUUCGAGUUGCUUAGUUUUUAGUUUUCUAUGCUGUGUCUUCUGUACUAUUAUUUGUCUGUUUGUCUUUUUAUUUUUAGCCAUGGCGUUGUCAGUUAAUUUUCAAUCUUUGAGUUUGACUGUCCCUCUGGUAUCUUUCGUCCCUCUUUUUUUUUUAUAUAAAUGCCAUUACUGCAAAGUGCAUGAAUAUAAAAAAAAGAUGUGGUAUGAUUGCCAAUGAAAUAACUCUCCACAUGAGACCAAAUGAAAAAGAUAUAGUUCCUUACAUUUUCUACAUUAAUUUCAUAAAAAAAAUCAUUUGCCAAUGUAAUAAAAAGAAUAAUAAUCGCCGUAUUUGAAUUCAAAAAUAAGACAAUUGUGACCGACGCCGCUAUGGAUUAAACUCGUGCUGCGCACUCUUUAAUCAUGCGCGUCGUCACGCGUGUCUUAUUUUUGAUAUUCAAAUACGGCAUUAGUUAUACUAUUUAUCAAAAGUAAUAAGAAAAAUACCGCGUUCAAAGGUAAAGUGGUAAAAGGGGAACCCAAGCUAGGUAUAGGAAGAUGUGGUAUGAGUACCAAUGAGACAACUCUCCAUCCAAAUAACAAUUUAUAAAAGUUCACCAUUAUAGGUCAAGGUACGGCCUUCAACACGGUGCCUUGGCUCACACCGAACAACAAGCUAUUAAGGGCCCCAAAAUUGUAUGAUUUUUUAAAAAAUAUCAAGAUCUAAGUGGAACACAGCUGUUUUAUGUGUCUUUGGAUAACUGUAUACAUAAUAUGCUUUUCUUAAUCUGUCUUUUAUAUUACUUUGAUAACAGACCAAACAUGCAGUGAAGGCUAUAUUAGAUGUCGUGAUGGUAAUGAAUGCUUCCUUAAUCUGUCUCUUAUAUUACUUUGAUAACAGACCAGACAUGCAGUGAAGGCUAUAUUAAAUGUCGUGAUGGUAAUGAAUGCUUUCCUUUGUGGGGAUUAUGCGAUGGUGACUAUAGAGGGGGUACCUGGUAUAACUGUAACGAUUGGAGUGAUGAAGAUCCGGCA